AGACCCGAAACCCGGUGAUCUAGCCAUGGGCAGGUUGAAGGUUGGGUAACACUAACUGGAGGACCGAACCGACUAAUGUUGAAAAAUUAGCGGAUGACUUGUGGCUGGGGGUGAAAGGCCAAUCAAACCGGGAGAUAGCUGGUUCUCCCCGAAAGCUAUUUAGGUAGCGCCUCGUGAAUUCAUCUCCGGGGGUAGAGCACUGUUUCGGCAAGGGGGUCAUCCCGACUUACCAACCCGAUGCAAACUGCGAAUACCGGAGAAUGUUAUCACGGGAGACACACGGCGGGUGCUAACGUCCGUCGUGAAGAGGGAAACAACCCAGACCGCCAGCUAAGGUCCCAAAGUCAUGGUUAAGUGGGAAACGAUGUGGGAAGGCCCAGACAGCCAGGAUGUUGGCUUAGAAGCAGCCAUCAUUUAAAGAAAGCGUAAUAGCUCACUGGUCGAGUCGGCCUGCGCGGAAGAU
rnacentral:rRNA from 1 species